rnacentral:rRNA from 1 species
AUUGAACGCUGGCGGCAGGCCUAACACAUGCAAGUCGAGCGGGGUUUUCGGACCUAGCGGCGGACGGGUGAGUAAUGCGUAGGAAGCUGCCCGAUAGAGGGGGAUACCAGUUGGAAACGACUGUUAAUACCGCAUAAUGUCUACGGACCAAAGUGUGGGACCUUCGGGCCACAUGCUAUCGGAUGCGCCUACGUGGGAUUAGCUAGUUGGUGAGGUAAUGGCUCACCAAGGCGACGAUCUCUAGCUGGGUUGAGAGGAUGAUCAGCCACACUGGAACUGGGACACGGUCCAGACUCCUACGGGAGGCAGCAGUGGGGAAUAUUGGACAAUGGGCGCAAGCCUGAUCCAGCCAUGCCGCGUGUGUGAAGAAGGCCUUCGGGUUGUAAAGCACUUUCAGCGAGGAGGAAGGGUGGUGUGUUAAUAGCACAUCAUUUUGACGUUACUCGCAGAAGAAGCACCGGCUAACUCUGUGCCAGCCGCCGCAGUAACAC